GAGCGGUAGCUCGGGUAUUCCAAAUCCGUUUAAGAACCCGCCAAAUUGGGCUGGACGAUCGGAAAAGUUGACCAAUACUCAUAAGUACUGGCGGGGCAUCUCCCCCAAGUGACUCGCCAGCCAAGGUACCGUGGACCGCGUACCUUGAUUACUCCUAAUGGUCUUAACCCGGAUUCAUCCCCCAGAACCCGG
rnacentral:sRNA from 1 species